CUUGGUCAUCUAGUGGAACUAAAAGUCGUAACAAGGUAACCGUAGGUGAACCUGCGGUUGGAUCAUUACAAAAUGAUGGUUUUUUAGCUUGAGCUGCUUUCGAGUGGCUCGCUAAAAGACUUAUUCACCCUUGUGCAUCGUAAUGUUUUUUGGGUCGGUUUUCGACUGGCCCAGCAUUUUUUAAACACUUUAUAAUUUGACUGAAUUUUUUUGAAAAUAAAAAAUAACAACUUUUGACAACGGAUCUCUUGGCUCUC
rnacentral:misc_RNA from 1 species